UUUGAAACUGCCCUGCAAAACAUUUCUUUUCAAAUAGUAAUUGUUUAAAGCUCGUAAAGUUUGAAUGAAAGAUAAAAUAGAUCUUCCUUUUUUCAGCUAUGUAACGCAACGGCAUUCAUUUUUUAUUUUUUUUUUCUCCUGGAUCUAAACUGGAACUUUUGAAGAAUUUAAUCUUACCUUUCACCCAGAAAGAGGAGGAGAGAUCAAAGAACUCUCUCCAUUACCUUCAGGUAAAAUAUUCUGCAUUGACUGAGUUAAGAGAUUACACUAAACCAAGCAAGUUUCUGUAGAUGGCAGAUGUCUUCACUUUUGUUUCCUUUCAUUGUUGAUGAGGAUUACCUUGUGAUUUAACCAACAUCCUGAUUGCAAGGAUUCCAAGAGUACAGUGGAGACUUGAGAGCUGAAAGUUGGAACAGUGGAUAUUCAUUGAAGAGGUCAUGGAAGAGUCAUUCCCUGGAAGGGACAGAUUUGCUUUGGAAAGAGUGAACCUGGGAAGAAAAGCAAGCAAUGAACAUAAUGUACAAAAUAUUUAUGGUUAUUUUUAUUCAUGGUUUUAUGUGACAAAACACUCAGUCUGGUUUUCUGAUUCCUAUCUCCAGCUUGUUCUCCUGUGGUGCCAGCCAAAGACAUUUCAACACUAAAACAUUAAUCGGCCUCCAUUUUUCACUGGAAAAUUUGAGUAAAAUAAAUAAUUUGAUCAUUUUAGUAGUUGUUACUGC
rnacentral:lncRNA from 1 species